UACGGAGGGUGCGAGCGUUGUCCGGAAUCACUGGGCGUAAAGGGCGCGUAGGUGGCGCGGGCAGUCAACGGUGAAAGUUCGGGGCUCAACCCUGAAUCGGCCGUCGAUACGUCCCGAGCUGGAGCACUGUAGAGGCUCAUGGAAUUCCGGGUGUAGCGGUGGAAUGCGUAGAGAUCCGGAAGAACACCGGUGGCGAAGGCGGUGAGCU
rnacentral:rRNA from 1 species